rnacentral:rRNA from 1 species
UACGAGGGGGGCGAGCGUUGUUCGGAAUUAUUGGGCGUAAAGGGUGCGUAGGCGGUUUGGUAAGUCUUAUGUGAAAUCUACAGGCUCAACUUGUAGUCUGCAUGAGAAACUGCCGGGCUUGAGUAUGGGAGAGGUGAGUGGAAUUCCUGGUGUAGCGGUGAAAUGCGUAGAUAUCAGGAGGAACACCUGUGGCGAAAGCGGCUCACUGGACCAUAACUGACGCU